rnacentral:rRNA from 1 species
UACGGAGGGCGCAAGCGUUGUUCGGAAUCAUUGGGCGUAAAGCGCGUGCAGGCGGCUUGGUAAGUCGGGUGUGAAAGCCCGGGGCUCAACCCCGGAACUGCACCCGAUACUGCCUCGCUAGAGUCUCGGAGAGGAUGGCGGAAUUUCCGGUGUAGAGGUGAAAUUCGUAGAUAUCGGAAGGAACACCAGCGGCGAAGGCGGCCAUCUGGACGGUGACUGACGCUCAGACGCGAAAGCGUGGGGAGCAAACAGG